rnacentral:rRNA from 1 species
GGCGUGCUUCAUACACGCAAGUCGAACGAGAAGCAGGAGCUUGCUCCUGUGGAAAGUGGCGGACGGGUGAGUAACACGUAGGAAAUCUGCCUUUGGGUGGGGGACAACAGUUGGAAACGACUGCUAAUACCCCAUAUGAGCUUGGUUGCAAUACCAAUCUUGAAAACUCCGGUGCCUAAAGAUGAGCCUGCGUCUGAUUAGCUUGUUGGCGGGGUAAUGGCCCACCAAGGCGACGAUCAGUAGCUGGUUUGAGAGGAUGAUCAGCCACAAUGGGACUGAGACACGGCCCAUACUCCUACGGGAGGCUGCAGUAGGGAAUUUUGCGCAAUAGGGGAAACCCUGACGCAGCAACGCCGCGUGAAUGACGAAGCCCUUCGGGGUGUAAAGUUCUGUCGGUAGGGAAGAAUUUUGACUGUACCUACAAAGGAAGCACCGGCUAACUCCGUGCCAGCAGCCGCGGUAA